rfam:Dipodomys ordii contig_55600, whole genome shotgun sequence.
GGGAAGUUGGCUUAGUGGUAGAGUGCUUGCCUCGCAUGCAUGAGACCUGGGUUUGAUUCCUCAACACCACA